GUCCCUGAAGGACUAGUGGUUAGGCCUCGGUGCUGUCAUUGCCGUGGUGCAGGUUCGAUUCCCGGCCAGUUGCA